AGGAUAUUGCGGAACAUCUUAGGGUAAGACAUUUAUUUCAGCUUGUCUAUUCAGAUUUCAGAACUCAGAGCUAGCUAAGCCAAAGUCAGAUAGUAGGAAUGUAGGAUGCUUGAGCUUGAUGGGGAAAAGUGAUGAAGAUCUGAUCUAGGAUUGAGCUUAGCUCAUUUGUAUUGCAAUGCAAAUGAUCACAGAAGAACCUUAAUAGAACUGAUGUCUUUUAGGCUGUUUGCUAUUAGCAAAGUUUCUUGAAUGAUUAAUUUUCUCUUUGAGCUUGGCAUGAAGAAGUGAUUUGAUUUUAAGUGAAAAUAGUUUUUCGAUAUUUUA
rnacentral:misc_RNA from 1 species